rnacentral:tRNA from 1 species
GCAGUGGUAACUCAGUUGGUAGAGUGGGGGUGUGAAGAACCUCUGGUCACUGGUUCGAACCCAGUCCGCUGCACCA